rnacentral:lncRNA from 1 species
CACAGAGAGGCUGAGGGCGGCGACGGCGAACAACAACAAUAAUAACGGGCAAGACAGGAAAUAUGAUGACUUUGGUUUUGAUCCCAAGUGCAUAGACUGGGACGACUACUUCUACAGGGUUCACAUCCCAGGUGUUGUUAAGUACCUGUGUGAUUAGUUGAGAGAGAGAUAAAUGUAUCUCAUGUGUUUUAAACAAUACACAAGUAUGUCGGUGUGUGCGGUGUGUUGUGCUGCAAAUAUUAAGUCCUCUCAGAGAGGUGCAUUAGCAUUCUUGUUCAGUGGCUAUAAGGAAAGCAAGUCAUUAGAUUUCUCGUGUUACUACAUUCUUUUUGAGAAUAAUGGUACAGCUUUUACUUUGGUCCUAUAUGCCACCGAAAUGUGUCUUAUGUUAGGAGCUUGGUUGCACGGGGUUGAAAAAAAAAAUCCUCAUAUUUAUGCCUUGUUUAGUUCCAAAAAAAAAAUUCUUGUUACACAUUUAAUGAAAGCACAUUCCAAAUUCUUGUUUUAAAAAUUAGCUAUUUUUACCACGCCAAGGAAUAUAGCGUGACAAAUAUGUGCAAUCAUGUCAUGUGAGUUGACCACUACUGUAUCUCUAAUAAAGAUAAACUUUACUAGCUAUUUCUAUUGCUAUGCAAAGUGUCCAUAUCAGCAUCCAUUACAACAUCCCACUAGCACAUAGCAUACUACUGGAAACAUAUUCUUUGUCGAGGGUGUCUGGCUUUUCCGAGGGUCAGUCAAAAAAGCCUCCAGCAAAGAUAGCCAGACCCGCGACAAAGAAACGGCCCUCGGCAACAGAACUCUUUGUCGAGGGUCGGCAAACUUGCCCUCGACAAAGAAUGCUUGAUGGGCCACCGAUGUUAGUCUUGCCGAGGGCCUGCCGUCAGGUCCUCAACAAAGAUUUUUAUAUUUUUUUUUAAAUAAAUCCUUGCCGAGGGCCGUAGACGAGGCCCUCAGCGAAGAUUUUUUUUGGUUUUUUUGAACCCAGUUUUUUGUGGGGCUAUAAUACAUUAUUUAAAAGGCAAUUUCAAAAUUUGGGCCACUUUUGCCUUUUUUGUUUAUAUUUCCUCAAUUUAUUUCGUUUUAUUGUUUUUUUUGGAAAUUUCAAAUUUAAACUGCAGGUGCAAAGAAUAAUGCAAUUUAGUGCUUCGAAAAAUGUUAUUCAUAGUAUUUGGUGUACGUUGAGUCCCUAUACAUGAAAUCAAAUCAAAUUUCGAGCAUCUUGUUCACAUAACAUGACAAGAAGCUAGCUGAAAAAGUGUUCAAAAAAUAUAUAAAAUCCAUAUGAAGUCCAAAAAUUACGAAACUUGUCGAGAUGUCAUGUUAUGGCAUGCGGAGGCUGUGGUAAAAAAGUGAGAAAGUUCCGAGCAAGUUGUGACGUCAGACGCCUAAAACCCGUUCGCCGCAACUACGCCCGGCUAUGCCGCCCCUGCCCGGCCACACGCGACUCCCUUGCGCGCGCCGCCACUUCCCCUGCCUGGAGACUGCGCCUGACCGCGCCGCCCUCGCCCGGCCACGCGCGUCGCGUCCUUUGCUGGGCUGCUCGCGUCGCCAGCGCCGAGCCCCUCGGCCACCGUCCUCCUCCACCCGCGCCGCCACCGAGCCCCCGUCGCCCGUCGUCCUCCCUUGCUCGUGCCACCCCCACCAAGCCCCUCGGUCGGCGCGGCCCGCACAUCCCCAUCGGUCUGCUCCUCCACCGGCCGUGGCCGCUCGCUACACCCUGCCGCCCCCCGCAGCCGCCGCCGGCAGCUGACCCCUGCCUAGCCACGUGGCAAGCUUGGAAGGGUGAGGAGGAGGUACUAGGAAGAAGAAUAAGAAUGAAGUAGAAGGAAGAAGAAGAUGGUAGAAAAAGGAGGAAGAAGGAGGAGGAGAAGGGGAGAGGAGGAAGAAGCCAAGGUGGAGAGGAGGAGGUGCCUCCAUCGUCGUCUCCGCGUGCCCGUCUCCUCUAUCACUCAACCGGCUACGAGCACGAGCAAGGUAUAUCAACCCCUUCUUUGCUUGUCGGCCUUUGUGCCAUUGUGCUUAUUAGCCUUCUCCCGUUGUAAUGUCAACCUUUGUGCCGCUGUGCUUAUCAGCCAUCGUGCCGUUGGGAUUGUCGGCCAUCGUGCCGUUGUUUCUUACAGGUUUUGAAAACCUCCCCGUGCAGGGGAGGUGCUGUCCAAAUUUUGAACUUAUAGUCUCGUGUUUCUUCUUUUGCAGAGCAUGACUUAUCGGACAGGACCUAGAGGACCUCGAUCGUCUUCAUCGGUGUUGCCGGUCUGCCUGCACUGGAUCGCCUCGCCAUUGCGUGGACUCACCACUGCCCCACUAGCCUACCUUCACCGACAACCUAGGUAUAAAUCGUCUCCAACCCGGGCGAGGAGGUCUCGGAGUUCUCUGCGUGGGCUAUGUCCCACAUGGGUAGGGCGUUGUUCUCUGUCUCCUUUGAUCCGGCUGCUCCCUCACAGUCGUACUCUGACCCAAACAUGUACACUAAAGUUCAAGAGUACACGUUAGCAGUAAGGGAGAUCCAUGGAGAAGAUUACAAUGUGCGCACUGAGCCCAUUGAUACAGAAGCGAUCAUGAGGCUCGGAGGAGGCAAGAAGCAUGGGUGGCUGUGGAUUGUAGAUGGUGCCAUCGACUCCACCUGUAACACCCUAGGUGUUUGUCACUUACUAAGUACUAGGUUUGAGCUCAAACAUGACAAGUUCAAUGGUAAUAUAGAGGUCAAAGUCAAUCUAUGAAAGUAAACCCCAACUUGGGCUUGGUGGAUGCAACCUUGCUUGCAUAUAUGCCUUUUUAAAAGGUAUGCUUGGAUGAUGCUAAUGGAACCUUUUUCAUGUGUCUUAUAUCCAUCCCAAUCUAUGUUGGUCUCUGGAAAAGUUUGGUGAAGUUUGGAAUCAAGAAGUCACAUGAAAUGAUAAGUUAUAUCCUUGCCGGAAUGACUCUAUUAAGGAAAUAGAAUCAUGGGUCACCAACCAAACCUUGCAAACUUGCUCAUAUGACACUAGAUGAAUUAUACAACAAAAGUCGUGAAGGGUUCAUGUUGAGCUUAUGUCAAGAAAAUGCUUCAAUUGGCCUAAAAUCCUAUUUGGAGCUUUAUCGGGUUACUACUUUGACCAAGGUGAAAGAUUGACUUCGGUUGCAGUUAUGAGGUUUGACCCUAAAUGAAAGUUGUGGUUUUGCUUCUGUAGAAGAAACUUUAUUCAAAGGUCAAGAACCAAAUCAGCCUGCAAACAGUUCAAACAGAGGCUCGAAGUUCGAAUCAGCUGCUGUUUUUCAGCCCUGAGAAAUAGUUCUAAGUCCCUAGAAGGACAGCAGUGAGUUAACUCCUUCGUGACGUUUUAUUAUGCAAAUUCAUAUGGUAACUCAAUUAUAUUCCUUAAUAUGAGUUGGAGUACUCUUCUUGAUGAAAGCAAUGGGUUAAGUAUCAUCAAAUUUUGAGUUCAUUUGGAUGUUCAAAAAUAGCUCACAAAACAGCAAAAGAUUAAUUUAUCGCUAAACGGACGUCGACCCGUUGGCAUGCCGCGUUCUCGUGUUUUUGUUAAGCAACUCAAGUUGGUCCAAGAAUAAAAGUGGUGGACAAUUACUUGGAGAAGGUCAUGUAAAAAGUUGCAUCAUGUUUGACAUGGUUUGGACCAUCAAUUCUUGGUUUUGCUAAUCACCGUCAAUAAGUUGACACUCAUGACUUGGCAUUAAGUUAUCUCCUAAUCUGUUGGUCUAAUGACUGAGCACCCUUAAUAAAAGUUGGAGAGCAGGCCGACGUGAGCAAACUUCCUUUUUGGCCCAAUGUCCAAAUCGGCCCGUAAGGAGUCCAAAAACGCGUCCCACCUGAGCCACUUCAUUGCCCGACACGUGCUCGAUAAAAUGCCUCAACGGACAACACGCGUCCCGGACGUGGCAUCCAUGCCCGAGCGCGCCCCUCCUCAUCUGCUACUCGCCCUGGCGCCCCCACGCCCGGUUGUCGAAGUGGAGAAGCACCCCAGCGCCUUCCUCACCCAUCUCCACCCCCGGCUCGCUCUCUCCCUCGCCCUAUGGCCACUCCAGAGCAGGGCCACCAUGGCCGGCCGCCAUGCCUCAGGGGUGAGCGUGGCCAAGCCACCACGAGCCUCCUCGCGCCGAGCUGAGUGGUCUUAUGGAUGCGGGGAAGUCUCCUGGUGCUCCCCCACCCCUCCCUCACCGCCGGCGUGGCCAUCAUUGGCCAGAAAGCGCAAGGCCGGCGAUCCUCCUCCGUUCUCUGUUCGUAACAAGAAAGGACCUCGUGUUCGAAUAAGAAACAACCCAGGGUUCCAGAUGCGAAGCUAAGACUCAUAUGAAUAGUGCAUCUGGACUGCAGUUGAUUUCGAGAAACUCCAGGGUUUCCGAAGCAAAAGUGUUUUCCUUUAUCUUUUCUUUGUGCAGAUUUCUGGAUGAACUUUAGAAAUUCAUAGUAAUUCAUAGAAAAGUCGUCAAAUAGCAAAUGUGGACUUUUUGGAAUCCUUGUGAAAUUCUCUAUGCAGUAGAUCUAUAAUAUGGCAUGGUUUAGUUUGAUAUUUUAGUCGUAAAAAUAGUUUUAUACAGUUAGGUUUUGAUUGCUUGUUAUAUUUGUCCUUUUUAUAACUGCUGUGUUGUUGCUCCAAUAAAUGUGAAAAUAUUGUGACAUGCUUUUAAUAUGAUAUUUGAUGUCUGGCAUUUGUUUCAGGAAUUUAGGAUUGAUAGAUUAAGAGUUAUGAAAAUAACAAAUGCCCUGUGUUGCUUUGCUCCUAUUCUGAGUGGAUCUGCAUGUUUGUAUUUUUUUGGCUCAGUUCAGUUAUGAAUCAUGCCUUAAUGAAAAUAUAUAAGUUUUAUUACUUUUCAUGAGCUUUCCAAAAAGAUAAAUAGCACAAUUUUUGGUUGAGCACAUGUUGAGUUAUAGUGGUUUAAAGUACUGUUCCAGUUUCUGUCUAAACCCAGACAGAAUUGCAUUGUUUGUAAUGUAAGACCUUGUUAGUGGUAUAUUUAGCUCUAGAUGUUUAUAACAAAGUUGUUCACAAUUUCGUAAGCUUUCUAGAAAGUACACAAUCAUAAAUUAUGGACAUAUGAACUUCAAGUUAUAGCUGUUUAAUGUAGCAUGGCAGAUUCUGUCUAUGUUUUGGACAGAGAUGCCUUCAUGGGAUUAAUUGACCUUGAUAACUGUGGAAUCACAUUUAGAUGAUAAUAAGAAAGUUGUAAGUAACUUUAUAAUCUUUCCAAAAAUAUAAGAAUCAUGUUGGCUGGAGGUCUACAACUCCAUUUAUGCUUCUUUGAAUUGCCUACCAGUUUUCUGUUUGUAAUUGUACCCCUACUGUUUGGGCAGCAUGAGCAGUUUUGAUUGUGCAAUUAAUUCCAUGAUAUAAAUGAUGUUUUCUGUGAAACUUGUAUAUAGAAAAGAUGUAGAUAAAUUACUAAUAUAUCUUGUUGUAAAGUUUCAUAUCAUUUGGCUAAGUGGUUUGUGAGUUACAGUAGUAUGAAUUUCAUCCUUUGAAAUGCUUGUUCUCUGGAAGUUCCUGGACCAGAUUAUAUGGUUAUGCAUGUUUGACUUGGUUAACUUGUUAAUCAUACUGAGAUGAUUAAAUAUGAAUUGUAGAUAAUUUUAUAUUCUUUCCAGAAUGUUCUAUUGCAUAGUUUUUGGAGUUGUGUAACUCCAGUUGUGAUUUAAUUACUGAGUUGUUGCAUGUAUGUCCAGAAUUGCUGAAAUACAUGAAUGCUUGAUUGCUUUACUUUGUGUGAUCUAAGUAUGAUUCAUGUCUUUAAUGGUGAUUUAAGUAAUACACUUGUAAACUUGUUAAACUUGUGUCAUGAUUGAUAUAUUUGCUCUAUAUAAUUGGUUGUGUGAUGUUAGCUAAAUAACUUUAGAUGCCUGUGUCUUGCAUACUUUUAUGUCAUGCAUGUUGUGUUAUUAUUCUUUAUAUUCAUGCACUUGCAUCUUGCAUCUCAUCUAGGUGCGCUAGAUGAAUCACGUGAAGGUCUUGGUGUGGGAACAAACCCGAAGACGGUGUUGGGUGGACCCAUCCCGAAGGUGGAAGGUCUAAGCAAGUGUUGUGACCUUAGAUGUCACCAAGACGGAGCAACUAACUGAAUUGACUCAGUGUUAAUCCCAGGCAAGCCCCGGAGUAUUAUAAGUCUCCCACUACUUUUGAAUGCAGUUGAGAAUAUAUGUUAUAUAUGUAUUGUUGCAUUAAGUAUAGGAGUUGGGUGAAACCCUUGCUGCAUAUAACACUCCUUGUCCAGCAAAUAUACCUAUAACCCUAUGUAGAUUCAGGAUCGAAUCUAAAUGCUUAGUCAUGCUUAGACCGGUAGAAGCCAGGUGAUGUCCUAUCACCUGAGCGAGAUAGGUGGAUACCUGAAAAGGUUGGCUAUAUAUGCUAUCAUGAAAAUAACCAAGUGAUGAGGAUGAAUAAUUGGAGACCGGGCGGGACGAUGGUAGAGAAGUAACAAGACAUGGAGGUCUUGGGUGCCUAUCUAUCCCCGCCUGUGUCGAUUAAGGACCGAUCGUUGACGGCCCUCUUGUCAUGUUGAACGCAUGCCCCACACUUAGCUGGAAGGAUAAGUCGUUCCGACCGCGAAGCCUGAACACUAUCCGGGCCGGGAGUCGAGCCGCCAUGCGCUGUAUUGGUGAUGGUUGAGGAGAACGACGAGGGCGCGGCGCGCAACCUUGGUAUACCUUGGAUACCUCGGUCGCCGGAACGGUCCUCGGAUACUGGCGGUGCCUGCCGAACCCGCGAAUUGGUCCUGAAUAGUGCAAUAUGGUGACCUGUAGCUCACUUUGGCCGGUGAGUGUGGUUUGUGUGGGGAAUAACUCGCCAGCUGGUUAGAAAUCGAUUCGAAUCGCCAUCGCUCCUGGACAGUGAGCACUUGACUUGAGCUUCGUCAUCGUAGUAAUGAUUAUGGAACACUUGGAUGGUUAUGGUAUGAUGAUGUUGGAAAUGCCACAUCAAAUAUGGGUACUACUGUUGUAUCUUAAUCAAGUGAUUGCUCUAGUACAGGUGCUAAUAUAGAUGACAGGUAAUGAUUAUUAACUUGAGCUAAAUACCUGAAAAGUUACUUACCUGUAACCUAAGCUUUUUAUGCAAAAAGUGUUGUCAAGCUAGCCCCACCAAUAAAGCCUUGCAUACUCCUUGGUGUCAUAUUAUUUCUGGUUUAUGACGGGUAAGUCUAGCUGAGUACCUUCUCGUACUCAGGGUUUAUUCCCACUUGUUGCAGGUUGUGAUGUAUCAUGGCUACUGCAAGAGUUGGAUGACUCCUACCAUAUUAGAGGAGUAAGAUCAUGGGCAUGAUCCUUCUUUGUUACCUCAUCUAUGUUGCUUUUGUUGGAGUUGACCUGGAUACUGGCAUGUAUUUGAAAUAAGGGCAAUAUUAGUUUCAAAUUACUUUGCUUCCGCUACUUUUCAACUCAAGUUGUAAUAACUAUCUUGAACUCCGAUGUAUAUCAAACUACUUGUGAAAUGGAUGUAACAUGUGACUUGUUAUGUUGAAUCACUACGAUCUUGGCUUGUAAGAUGCUUGGUUUGAAAUCCCUCGUGAUUUCACGGACUACCGGGUUUAUGAGAGUUCGAUUACGUUAAAGCAACUGCUUUGGCGGGAGUUUUUCGUAGUUGAUCUCUUGUAAAUUGGGCGGUUCUGUUACACCACCACUGUUCGAAACCUCGACGCUAUCCAAGCACGGACUACGAGCUCCAGCUAGGCCAUACACCGGCCUUCUCCAGCGCUGCAGCAGGUUGAAGCACUCCAGGUAAUUCCUCUCUUACUCGUCGUACGUUCAUAUUUACAAACCAAAUUAGAUUUGCAUUACUGAUACAUUGGAGUGAAACAUUGUAGGCUGAGCUAUAAGAAACAAAAAGACAAAGUCAAGAGCAGACUGCGACACUGACUGCACAUAUAUAAAUGUUUGAUAUAUAUAUAUAUAUAUAUGACGCGUUUCUUUUACACGCGCGUGUAGUUACUCUCAUCUAUAUAUCUCUAGAUUUAAGGUGUAUAUGACCGGAUGAAAUGUAUAUAGACAAAGUAUAUGAUCAUACUAGACCAUAUACAGUGAUAUGUAUGUUAAGUAUGCAUGCAUACAUAGAGUAUAUGGUUAUACUUAUUGUAUAUAAUAUAGUAGUGGCAUUUUAGUAAUAUAUUUAAAAUAUAAUUUUUUUGAAAAUUUUUCGCAAGGUAAGAUCUAGAGUACCUUAACAUCAACAUGAGUAUAUAAACAUACUCAAACCAAUAAACAAGUAUGAAUACAUACACAAUGUAGUUUAUUGAAGAUGAGAGUAACUACACGUACGUGUAGAAAGGAAAUUCCAUAUAUAUAUAUAUAUAUAUAUAUAUAUAUAUAUAUAUAUAUAUAUAUAUAUAUAUAUAUAUAUAUAUAUAUAUAUAUAUAUAUAUAUAUAUAUAUAUAUAUAUAUAUAUAUAUAUAUAUAUAUAUAUAUAUAUAUAUAUAUAUAUAUAUAUAUAUAUAUAUAUAUAUAUAUAUAUAUAUAUAUAUAUAUAUAUAUAUAUAUAUAUAUAUAUAUAUAUAUAUAUAUAUAUAUAUAUAUAUAUAUAUAUAUAUGUGUGUGUGUGUGUGUGUGUGUGUGUGUGUGUGUGUCUGUGUGUGUGUAUGAAAUGUUUGUGUAGGUGGAAUGCAAAAAACAAACAAAAAAUUUAAAUUUUCUGCCGAGGGCCCUCACCAUAACCCUCGGCAAAGAUUGGGUCUUUGCCGAGGGCUCUUACUCUAGCCCUUGGUAAAGAUUGGGUCUUUGCCGAGGGCCCUCACUGUAACCCUCGAUAAAAAAUGGGUCUUCGCCAAGGGCCCUCACUGUAGCCCUCAUCAUAGCUCUUGGCAAAGAUUUUUUGGAAAAAAUUCUGCAUAAUUUCUUUACCGAGGGCCAUAGGUGGAGGCCCUCGGCAAAGACUUUUUCUUUGCCAAGGGCUCGUAGACUGCCCUCGACAAAGACACCGUCCAAGGGAACGGCUCUGUGCCGUUGCUUUUCUCUACUGAGGGCCCAGAUGGCCCUCGGCAAAGGUUUUGUUGAGUGCUCGAUAAAGGACCCUCGGCAAAGACCCUCUUUGCCGACUCAAAAUUCUCCGAGUGCUCUUUGCCGAGGGCCGCUCUCGGCAAAGCCUUUGUUGAGGGUUUAUGGGCCUUUGCUGAGGGCUUCGGGCCUCGGCAAAGUGGUGGCGUCCAGUAGUGAUACUCGAUUAUCUCGCCAUGCAAAGUGUCCACAUCAGCAUCUACUAACACAUCAAACUAACACAUGUCAUUAUGUCUUCAUUCAAGCUAUUCACAUUAGCAAACCACAUCAUUUAUUAACAUAUAUUGUUGCAUUACCAACACCAUACCUAUACAUCUUCUGAUGAUUAAUAUUCUAACUUAUUUAUAUUCUUUCUUCAUACCCGUAGCAACGCGCGGAAAAUCCUCCUACUAUAUAGAAUAGGCAACCAUUGCUAUCUACAUCACUAUUAAAGUAUCUCACUGUUGGAUCUAGAAAAAGUGUUACCACUGUUGGGUUCACAAAAUAACUAGCAGUACAAGUUAAUUUGACUGUUUUAUUGCUGACUGACAAGGGCCAUCUUACCCAAAAGUUUAACUAAUUGCAUUUAUUAACCCCGGGUGCUCCCGUCUACUCCUCCCUUUCUCAUAUAUGAUGUUGACCACUAACCUCUCUGUCCCUUCUCUCUGAUCUCUUUCUCCCCCCUCUCCUUCCCAUCCUUCUCCCUCUCUAGAACCAACAUGGAUGCACCUCUGUCUCUUCCAUCCGACCUCUUCCUCUCCCUUCUCUCUUCCUCUCCUAGAGAUGAUGCGAGGCAGGGCAGGGGCAGACCGUGUGUGCUUGUGUUCAAUGUGUGUGUGUGUGUGUGUGUUGAUAGCAUUAUAUACUUAGAAUUUUAAUUUUAACCUUGGCGGGAAAACAAUACAGAGGCAGGUAGAAAUAGAUCUACCUCCACAAAAAGUGUUCUCAGAUGUGGCUAAAGUUUCCAGCUUCCUAUGUUAAAAGUCCUUUUAGUAGCCUUUCCGUGAUGUGGCUAAUGUAUUUUGUAUCGACAGGAAGAAAUUUUCGAUAUCUAUUUCUUUCGUACGUUAAUAAAUUCAUGAAUAAGUUCCGCCGCAUCUCUUACCAUUCUGUACAUAGGUUCGAGUAUGUAUAUAAAUAUUAAUGCUUGUUACAUGGAUAAUAGUAUCUUGAAAAUUCUCACAAAACCUCAAAACAAAGUAUAUUAUAUGUGUGGCUUUAGGUCUAUUCCUUGCAGACAUAUACUAGUAUGUAUCACGUAUCCACUUGAGUGUCUGUGGCAAGAUUCACCAUCAACAAUAUAUAGAAAUAGUUAAGUCAUGGGUAUUUAUUGCAAGCGACAGUGACUAUACCAAUAUAGAUUGCAAUGUUUUUUCAUAGACGAAUUCACUCAAAGACAUCCUCGUUCCAUCUAGGAAUAUAUACAUUCACAUUGGUUAUGUACUGUAAGUUAAAUCCAAGAGUUUGCCUACGUACCAUAUACAUUACCACUGGUGUGUCUUUACACCAUUUCUCAAUAGAUCUAGAGUCAAUCAUGAUAAGCGUCUUCUUCUGUUGAUCGAAAAUAUUAAGUAUAUUUUUUCUAAUGUGUAGCCAUAGCAAAAGAAAUUGCAAAUAUAGUAGCGAUUAUACCGCAGGAGCCAUUUCUUUCCCAUGUGUCUUGGCCGUUGGAUUAGAGUAAGGUGAGAGAAGGCUUAGCAUAAAUCUAGAUAGUUUAUUUUAGAGAUGUUGUUUUUUUAUGUACAAUUUUCUAGGUGGAUAGCUGAGCUGCUUCUCGGUGGGGGGUUGAUGAGUUUAGCAAUAAAAAGGAUGGUGAAUUAUUAUAUUGCCCGGAAUACAUUAUGACAACAUCUAUUAAUGCAAAUCAAACAAAAUAACAAUAUAUCAAUGCCAAGCUCCACGAGACAGAAAGACCCACCAACAUGAGUGAGAACAUCAUAUGUGGAUGGCUCAGUAGUCAGCUUCUUCUCCUCACCAACAAAUAAAGUACUCCCUCAUUUUAAGAAUCUUGAAAAGUCAUAGAACCUCAAAUUUAACCAAAUUUAUAUGAUAAUAUAAUAAUAUUUAUGAUACUAACUAAGUAGGGAACAUAUCUAGUGCAAACCACAACCUCCGUGAAAACCUGUGCAAACCAUGGCAAAAAAGUUGUAUAAAUUCAUCAAAAAAUCACACAUGUAGAUGAUUUGAUAAUACACAACAUUGUAAAAUAUCUUGUCCAAACUCAACUUUGUUUGUGAGAUAUAAAAAUAACAAAUUUCAAGCCAGAAAGGGAUCCACAGAAUUUGCUAGAAAUUUGUUAUUUUUAUAUCUCACAAAUGAAUUCGAGUUUGGAUAAGAUAUUUGGCAAGGUUGUGUAUCAUCAUAUCAUCUACAUGUGUGAUUUUUUUGGUAAAUUUAGAUGAUUUUUUUGCCAUGGUUUGCACAUGUUUUCACGGAAGUUGUGGUUUGCACUAGAUAUGUUCCCAACUAAGUAUCAUUAGGUUCUUCAUAUUAGUUAUAUUUUUAUAGUAAUAUCUAUUUGAUGUCAUAAGUCUUUCUAUUUUUUCUAUAAUGUUGCUUAAACCUGAGAUGUUUUGACUCUCUAAGAUUCUUAGAAUGACUUAUAAAUUGGGAUGGAGGGAGUAAUUACCAACUUGAGCUAGCUGCUGCUUCAGCAAACCAGGAUAGUCAAACAUAUGUUGCUUUUCCUCACAGAACAGACAGUUCAUCGAACAUGCUGUGGGCAGCAUGCUCUUGUAGCAACAAAUCAAUGGCACCCGUGCCCAACAUCAGGUCACCUGGUGACUGUAGCAGAUCAGAGCGGCCCACCACCAUCUCUGCGCGGCUUGCAGAUGAAUCCAACCCUUGAGAGGUGCUUUGUUGCUGAAGAAGAUCCUGAAAUCCCUGCAGCCACACGUCGGAAUUUUGGGAAGAUAAAUCUCUACUUUCACUGCCUCCGUCUCAAAAAGAUUAUUCAUCUUAUUCAAAAAAUUUCUAUAAAUUAUAAAAUAAAUAAAUAAUUAUUAAAAUAUACUUAAUGAUAAAAUAAAUCAUAACAAAAAAUGGUAUUUACAUAAAAUUUUUGAAUACGGUGGAUGGUCAAAUAAGAUGUAAGUAAAAAAAUAAUAUUUAUUUUUUUGAGACGGAGUAUAUGAUAUGAUAUUCUAGCUAUUUACUGCUGCCGUACGCCGGUAGCCGGAUUAAGGUCUUAUUUAGUUUGCGAAAUUUUUUCAUUGACUAUUGUAAUACUUUCGUUUGUAUUUAAUAAUUAUUAUUCAAUCAUAGACUAAUUAAACUUAAAAAAUUUGUGUCCCAAAUUAUAGGCAAUUUGUGCAAGUUGGGAUCUAAAGCGCACAUGCAUAUUCGGAUCCGUUAUCCGUUUCACAUGCGCAGACCACACAUGCAUAUUCCGAUCCGAUCUCUGCGCAUGCGCAGACGAUAAAAUAUAAUAAUAUAGAUUUAUUUAGUGGUAAUAACCAAUAUAUGUAUUCUCCUUAGGCCUAUUUAGAUUGGAGAUGAAAAAAUUUUGGGUGUGACAUCGGAUGUGUCGUAAAGAUGUCGGGAGAGGUUUUUAGAAACUAAUAAAAAAACAAAUUACAUAGCUCGUCUGAGAACUGACAAAUCUAUUAAGCAUAAUUAAUCUGUCAUUAGCACAUAUGGGUUACUGUAGCACUUAAGGCUAAUCAUGGACUAUCUAGGCUUAAAAGAUUCGUCUCGCGAUUUUCAACCAAACUGUGUAAUUAAUUUUUUUUAUCUACAUUUAAUGUUUCAUGUAUGUGUCCAAAGAUUCGAUGGGAUGGAUGAAAAUUUUUUAGGUGGGGAACUAAACAGGCCUUGUUCAGUUGGCAAAAUUUUGAGAUUUUGGACACUGUAGCACUUUCAUUUAUAUUUGACAAAUAUUGUCCAAUCAUAGAUUAAUUAGGCUCAAAAGAUUCGUCUCACAAAUUAUAGGUAAACUGUAUAAUUAUUUUUUGUUUUCGUCUAUAUUUAAUACUUCAUGCAUGUGCCGCAAGAUUCGAUGUGACGGAGAAUCUAAAAUUUUUGGCAAAUCUUUUUAGGAACUAAACAAGGCCUUAUUUUAAAUUAUAAGAUGUGGGCUGUGUUUUUACUAUAUAUUUAGAUAUACACCAUAUCUAAAUAUAUAAUAAAAGCAAUUUAUGUAGAAAAACUAAAAUGUCCUAAAAUUUAGAAUAGAAGAAAUAUUAGUGUAUAUUGAGGCACUUACUAUAUAGUGACUUCGUCGAUCUCAAUCUCAAAAGGUAUAUAUGUUGUCAAAGUCGGUGCUGGUAGUGGUACGGUGAACGUAUAGUGUGCAUCAAUAUAAUAUUGAAAAAUGACAUUUUAAUGUUGUAACCAUACAACCUCAAAUAACUACAUCUGAAUUACUGUCUUCAUUCUAAAUUAUAGUUUUAUUUUGGUAUCCUAAAACAUAUUUUAACUUUCAUCAAUUUAUAGAAAAAUGCAUAACAUCAAUCCUAUUUUAUUAGAUCUUCCAUAAUAUAUAUUUUGAAAAGAUUAUUUUUAUUUAAAUUUGUAGAUGUCAAUGCAUUAUUCUAAAACUUAGUUAAAGUUAGAGAAAUUUGACUUAGAACAAAGGCAAAGUGAAUUUUAGGGUAAUCGGAGGGGAGAAGCACUCCCCACCUACUUUGAUUCACACUAACUCAACUAUACGCGAUGGGUCCUGCUGUGCGUGGCUCCACCCAUGCCUAAGCCUACACAAGAGAAGGAGAAGAAGGUGGCUAGGAUUCUAGGGAGGAGCUCACCGGUGCCAGAGACGAGGACAAUGUCGAUGUUAGGGUUUCAGCGGAUUAGGGAAUCUAUUCCUGGUGGGCUUAGAAGGAGGAUUUGGUGGGCGAGACGGGGGCAGGGAGUCGAGUGGAGCUUGCUGGUGCCCUAGGAUUAGGGUGGGUGGGGUCGAAGGGUGCAAUGGGGUGGGAGGUGAGUGGCCUAUCAAGGCGGCGGGAGCUGCCGGCCACCAGUGGUUGGGGCAAGGGUGGUAGAGGAGGGGCGCAGGAGGAAGAAGAAAAUUGGGGAGCCGCCAGGAAGAAAAGGUGGAGCCGAGUCGUGUGCUCCCAAAGCGCGUUACUAGUAGCACGAUAUUAGGAUCCUAGUCGAUUGCAUUGGAGCAACAAAAGCAUGUUGGCCAGUUACAUUUGAUAAAGUACAUUGAGAGGGGGUAACACAGUUUGUUGUAGGGAUUAAUUCAUAAUUAAGAAAACUACAUUACACCAAUGGCAGGGACAGAUCUAGUGGUGGAGCCCCCCUGAAAGCCUUAGUUUGGUUUUGGAUAAUUGAUGAAACCCUAGUACUAACCUCUAUGCUAAGUAUGUGUAGACUUAAUGAGGUUGAUACAUGCCAAGUGAUGGAGCAAGAGACGAUCAUGGUGAUAAUGGUGAUGACCACAAGAUGAUCAAGUGCUCAACUUGGAAAAGAAGAAAGAGAAAAACAAAAGCCUAUGGAAAUCAAGACAAAGGUAUUGGUUAGGGUUUUGGUUUUGGUGAUCAAGACACCAUAGAGGGUGUGAUCACAUUUAGGAUAGAUAGCCGUACUAUAAAGAGGGGAAUUCUUUGGCUAAGCGGUUAUCAAGUGCCACUAGGUGUCAUUGUUCAUGUGCAUGCAUUUGGAACCUAGUGAGCUAACUUAACUCCUUCAAAUAAAAUGAUUGUGAAAAUGCUAACACACAUGCACAUGUUGGUUUACACAUUGUGGUGUUGGCACACUUUAAGAAGGAGGUGGAGUUUGAAGUAUAGAGAGAGGAUGGGUUCCUCUCUCCCUCCCGCCGAGCUUGCGAUGCGGGAUUCGGCGCUUUUGAGGAAAUGAAGUGCAUAUUUUCUAUUGCACCGGUGGGAACUUUGGAGAAGUCGCGGGAGUGCUCACCGAACGCUAGUCCAGAAGCACCGGACACUGUGCCUGUGCGUUCGGUGUGCAGGCAGCCUGGCUCGGUUAGGGUUAGGCAACGGACGCAGUUUGGAGCGUCCGGUGGUGCGAGUCCGGUGACCUGAGCGUUUUGCAGAGCUCUCUGAGUUUAAGUCCGGUGAGCACCGGACGCAGCUUGGAGCGUCCGGUGGUGUGCAUCCGGUGACCUCGCGUGUUGCAGACCUCUCUAUGUUUAAGACCGGUGUGCACCGGACACGUCCGGUGCCAACUUGCUCAGCGUCUGGUGCACUACAGGUGGCCGUUAGACUCUGACAUGAGAGUUUCAAAAGGCUACACGUGGCUGACGUUGGAGCACCGGACGCAGGGGCUGAGCGUCCGGUGCCCCUUUAAGAGCGUCCGGUGACCCCGAGUUUUGCCCAGUGAAAGAGCCAACAGCUCUAUUUGUUUGAGGGGCUAUAUAUACGUGUUUGGCCGGCUUGGGGCUUACACUCUUGGCAUUCUUGACUACUAGACAUCCUUGUGAGCCUAAGCAAACACCUUCCACUCAUCUCCUUCAUAGAUUAAACAUCUUUGUGAGAUUGGGAGUGAUUCCAAGUGCUUUUGCUUGAGUGAUUGCACUAGUGGCACUUGGGAAUCGAUUUGGCUGCGGUUUUCUUGUUACUCUUGGUGGUUGCCGCCACCUAGACGGCUUGGAGCAGCGGAGGAGGAUUGGCACGAGUUGGUGAUUGUUCGUGGCCACCUCCCGGUGAUUGUGAGAGGUUUUGUACCUUCCCCGGCGGAGAGCCGAAAGAUAACUCUAGUGGAUUGCUCGUGUCGUUGAGUUAACUCACUUGUGGGUAGGUUCUUGUGGUGUCCUAGUGAGGACGAGGUUCGUGCUACACCUCUUAGCCACCGAACCACCAAGUGUUGGUCGACACAACGGGGACGUAGCGUGCCGGCAAGCACGUGAACCUCGGGAGAAAAUCGUGUGUCUCCAUUGUGAUUGUACUUUGGAUUUCUCCCGGUGAUUGGACUUUAUAUUAUUGAUUGGUUCAUCCCCUCUACGCGGUGGUAUAAAGUUCAAACCAUCUCUCUUACUUUCUUGCAAACUAGAGUAGCUUACAUACUUGUAUAGAAACUUUAGGUAGCUCUCUAGUGUAAGUAGAGACAUAGCUCUUGUGUGCCUAGUGAUCAUAUCAACUAGAAUUGUUGGAUAGGUGGCUUGCAAACACCUCUUUAGAGCUAGAGCAAAAAGCUUCGCUUUGUUAUUUACUAACCACUUGCUCUAGUAUUUUUGUAGAAGUUUUAAAUAGGAUAUUCACCCCCCUCUAGCCAUAUUAGAACCUUUCAACCCCCCCCCAAGCCUCCUAGGAUUGUUGGCUAUAGAUGCACCUUGAGGAGAGGUUAAAGGUACCUCGAGAUUAAAGAAGGCCCCCUAGCAUUUAUUAUGGAUCCGUCCCUGACCAAUGGGUAGUUAGAGCAUCUCCAAGAGAUUAGCCAAAAAUGCUAGCCAAAUUUACUGAUUUAGCUACUCUCUAAAAUAGAUUUGAUAAAAAAUAUAAUAUUACUCCAACAGACUCUACAAAAGAAUGGCUAGUGAGGUAGGCUAUCCAAAAGUAGAGAGCAAAUAUGGUGGGAGAAGAGCUACUAAAUUUGAAGAGCCAUUUACAGAGUCUGUCGGAGACGUUUUUCCUUCAAUAAUAGCCAAUAUACCUUUAGAAAAUGAUUUGGCUAGUCUCUUGUAGAUGCUCAUAUCCCGAUAAGCAAUAGGCAAGCGAAACUUUACUAAAAUCCAAAGUCUUAAGUGGGUUUAAAAAUUAAAACCCUAAAAUUAUCUACUAUCAAAUACUCGUGUUAUGUAUUGAAAAAAAACAUGACGCUGAAACGUAAAUAAAUUGUCCAUCUUUCAUCAUAAUUUGAAACGUUUGGACAAAAUUAGUUGAUGGUUGAUGAGCAUCUCCAAGAGUUUGGUCUUAUUUAUUUGCUGAACUAAUAAAUCUAGCAAGUUAAUAAAAGAAAUAGAAACUUUAGAUAUUGUUCUUCUCCCACAGUAAUCUAUAAUAACUUUCUAAAAUUAAAAUUAUAUAGUAGGGUCCUUAUCUAUUUAUGUUUAUUUAUUUUUUAGAUAAUUUUUUUAUUUGAUUUAUUUAUUAGAGCUGACCAUGUCUUUCACUUCAUAGGGAGAAUUUUUUUAUUUUUAAAUCCUUUUUAUUCAAUAUUUUAAUAAUAAUUGCUCAUAAAAAUAAUUUGCGGAUUUGACCCUUCUGGUCACGCCAACGACGCAGACAUGACCAAAUUAUGUUGGUGUGUCACAUGUAUCGGCAUAGCAACAUACAACAUGUUGGAUAGCGUUUCUGACGUGGAAAAUAGUGUCACGCCACUCCUACUAGCAUGACAGUAUUAUUAUGACGCGCCACCGAGAGUGAUGUGAUAAGACAAAAUCUUUCAAAAAUCAUAACUGUUUGAUACUAUGUCAGAUGAAGAUAUAAUUUAUAUAAAAAUUGUAGUUUUCAAUGAGCUCUAUAAUUCAUAGUUUUAAGCUUUUUCAGCGGAGGACGUUAACAUGUUUAAAAAAAUAAUAUAAAAUUUCAGGAGCAUAAUAACUGUGUACCAGUGCUUGUCGUAUUAGAAAAAUAAUUACUUUUUUAUAUGUUAUCAAAUGAAGAUACAUUUUAUAUGAAAGUCGUAGCUCUCAAUGAGAUCUACAACUUUGUAGUUUUAAGUUUUUUAUUUGAGAAUGUUAAUAUGCUCAAAGAAAUAAUAUAAUUUUUUAGAAUCGUAAUAACCUUGUACUAACAUUUGUCGAAUUAGAAAAAUAAUAUCGUUGUUGUAUGGUGUCAAAUUUGGAGCUUUUAAUGAAGUCUAUAACUUUCAUAUAAAAAGUAUUUUUAUGUGGCAUCAAAUAAGAAAUAUACGAUCUUUUCUAAAAAGAUAACCUUUGAUACACGGUUAAUAUGAUGCUAAAACAUUAGAUUACCUUUUGGAGUAUUAACAAGCUCAAAUAUGAAGACUUAAAACUAUAAAUUUGUAUAUCUCACAACGGGCUAUAACUUUGAUAUAAAGGAUACCUUCAUUUGACACCUUACAAAAACAAUAUUAUUUUUCUAAUUCGACAAAACUAUACUUGUAAAAUAUUACAUUUUUUUAGCAUCUUAAUAUCCUCUAAUGAAAAACUCAAACUAUAAAGUUCUAGAUCUCAUUGAGAGCUAUAAUAUUCAUUUAAAAAGUAUCUUUAUUUUGACAAAAUACAAAAAAGUUAUUAGUUUUCUAACAAGACAAGCACUAGUACGUGGUUAUUAUGCUCCUGAUUUUUUUUACAACUUAACAUACUCAAAUGAAAGAAAACUCAAAACUACAAAGUUAUAGAUCUCAUCGAGAGUUAUAAUUUUUAUAUAAAUUUUAUCUUCAUCCAACGUAGAGUUAUGAUUUUUAAAUAGAUGUCACGUCACUCCCGGGACGGGAGGGAACAAUAAUGUCACGCGAACCAGAAUGGUGUGACAACAUUUUUCACAUCGUCUAACGUGCCGUAUGUUGCCGCGCCAAUGUACGUGGUGUGACAACAUUAUUUGGUCGCUCCAUCUGGCGCGGGUCAACUCCACAAAUUAUUUUUAGAAGUGAUUAUUGUUAAAAUAUUAAAUUAAAAAUUAAAAAAUGGAAAAAAAACUCCCUUUCAGAGUGACCACCACCGUCGUACACCACGUUUGUCGUCCCUUUUUGUAGUCUCAGGGUCAGGCGUCACUUUUUGGAGUUGGAGUCUCAGGGUCACGUAGGCAUUGUUGCUAUGCUUCAAGACAAAGACCAGGCGAAGGCUGAUAGUAUAACUUUUUAUAAAUCUAAUUAUUUAAAGUUUAUAUUAAAAUAGUUAAAAUUUAUUUAUCUAAUUAUUAAUCAAAGUUUUUAAAGUUUAAAUCUUGAUAUGUGUAUACCAAAUAGAUCGGAGGAACUUUCAAAACCGGUCAAAUAACCCCCUCGAGUGGUUUUGGAGGGUGGUUUAGUCUUAUUCUUUUUUAUUUAUUUUUGCUGAAUCUUUGAAAAAUCAUAACAAAUCAUAAAAAAAAUCAUAAAAUGAAAAUUUUAAUUUUGUUGGACUCCUGAUGAGUUGAUCUACACGGUGAAUAUAUAAUAUGGUAUACUUUAGUACCAAGUUUUGUUGUACCUUUAAAUCUAUGUUUUUCUGUAAUUAAUUUGAUUAAUUCAUAUAUGCAGUUCCUGUGGUCCAAUUGUGGUAAAAUUUUUAUGGUAGGCUCAAUAUUAUAUGCUUGAACUAUGGUAAAAAUUUCAUACUCAUUGGAUCAUGUAUAACUUAGUUACAGAUAAAGCAUAGAUUUAACAAUAAUAAAGCUAAAUAAAUUGAUAACUAAGUUAUACGUGAUCCACUAGGUACGAAACUUUUACCAUAGUUCAAGCAUACAAUAAUGAGCUCACCAUAAAAAUUUCACCAUAAUUGGAUCAUAGGAACUGCAUAUAUGAAUUAUUCGAUUUAAUUACAGAAAAACAUAGAUUUAAAGCUACAACAAAAACUUUAUACUAUAGUAUACCAUAUUAUAUAUUCACUGUGUAGAUCUACUCAUCAGAAGUCCAACAAAAUUGAAAUUUUCAUUUUUAUGAUUUUUCUAUAAUUUAUUAUGAUUUUUCAAAGAUUUAGCGGAAAUAAAUAAAAAAGAAAAAGAUAAAACCACCAUCCAAAACCACUCUAGGGGGUUAUUUGACCGGUUUUGAAAGUUCAGGGGGUAGAAUAUCCGGUUUUAUAGUUCAGAGGGUGAAGUAGUCCACCCUUAAUAGUUUGGGGGGUUAUGUAGACUUUUUCCUAACAAAAAAAAUAUCUCUUGUGCGAGAAGCACCAUGAAAAUAGGUAAUGAAAGAGAAAUAGGGAGUUAUCUUCACUUUGCAAACUUAAGUUGAUGAGAAGGAUAUUUGAUAACUUUUAAAUUUUAAGGAACUCUUUUAUCAAACUGUCGGACAAGACUUCUUUCUCAUUUUGCUAAAAAUAAAAAUAGAGAGUUGUUUUACCAGACUCUUGGAAAUGCUCCGUGACAUCCAACUUAAUACUUGAACACUUUUAUAUUAUUGUAUUUGUUCUAUUGUACGCAUCACAAUAAUGGUUCUCCAGUAAAUAAUGCACUAUUAUGCAAACAUUUUAGUAGCACACAAAACCAAAGGCAUACACGUACUUGAACCCUAACUCCCAAUGUUCUAUAAUAAAAGCAAAAGAAGGAACGUAGCUUCUCGAGAACCAUCAUAUCUGGUCCUUGAGAUACAAUCCCAAACAAGAAAAAACUAAAGAGAAACGACACAAGUGUUCCCAUUGGGUGACCUGCAUGGAACAUGCAAGAUGGGCAGCUCACCUAAAUUUUGUCAUGCACUCAUGGGAUGGCACCAUAUAUUUCACACUAUGUCCAAAUUUCUGAAAGCAAUCGAUCACCAUGUGCCACUAUAUAUAGUAUAUAUUAUAUGAUCAUUGAGCACUCACAUGGAAAUCAAUUCUCCACUGAAAAGUCAUAGCUGAAAGUAUUAUUCGCUGUAUAUGAUCAUUGAGCACUCACAUGGAAAUCAAUUCUCCACUAAAAAGUCAUAGCUGAAAGUAUUAUUCGCUGAUUUAUUGUGAGAGCAACACUGUUAGCUGGCAGAAAAGUACGGCUUAUAAGAGAAACGAACGGGGCCUUAUGUCAAUAAAAGUGGUUGAUGAAGUGAAAAAAUUGACCGUCGACAGUCCAAAAAAUUGACCGAUUUUGAAUUAAACCUCAGUCAACAACAGUUAAACAGUAUAGCUAGCUAAUCAGCUUGAAAGCGCUCACCAACGAAGGACGCUUUGCUUUGUCCAUAAUUAAUUAGAUCCUCUAUUUGUUUACUACAGCAACCAUCCUGCAGGUUCCUGCUGCCCACGCUGAAAGUCUGAAACACGUCUCUCUCUGCUUCGCGCCUAUAAAUACAUGGUCUGAGGAUAUUGAUCCCAAAGCUAACAGAGCAUAGUAAAUCUCAUCAGAAACUCUUAGAUAUAUAGACCGACACGGACCACACUUGCACAUUCCAAGAUGAUCGGUGAUGAAGUGGAUUCAGAUGUUGUUGUACGCUACUUCAGAGGCAAGAGCAUCCUGAUCACUGGUUCAACUGGCUUCCUGGGGAAAGGUACGGUACCUCUCUUCUUCAUGCAUGAAUGAAUGAACUCGUUCAGAUAGUACUCUUUCAGGGUGUCUGCACAAUGCAUGGCUGGCUGAUCAUCUCCAUCUCUUGUCUCUUCGUAGUGCUUGUGGAGAAGAUACUGAGGGUUCAGCCGGACGUCAAGAAGAUCUUCCUCCUUAUUCGAGCCGCCGAUGUCGAGUCUGCGAAGCAGAGGGUCGAGACCGAGGUGAAAACAAAAUAUACUUCUUCUGUUCUUCCUUCCAUCUCUUUUUCUGAAGUUGCUUGUAUCCAGUGAUCCUGUCUGAAUCUGAACUUUUCUCCAUGACAAGCAAAUAUAUAUGUUGCUGGAAACCGUUUCUCCAUACAAGGACAGACGAUUUUUCUUUUUUGAAAAGGUCGGCAAGAGCUUUGCUGAAAUAAUAUAUUAGUAGGACAAAGGAAAAAUAUACAGAAAGGUUGUGUACCGGAAGCAAAAAAAAAAAGUUGAUGGAAAAAAGUUGCUCCGACAACAGAGGAAAAUCGUGCAUGAAUCUUUUAAGUAUGCAAAUUUGAUGUCCUCUCUAUCUUUACCACUGUGCUCGUGCAUAUCUUGCAAUGAGCAUCUCAUGCCAGAUGCAUGCACACCCAAAUCUUGCUCACCCAAUAUUAAUAAAGGAAACAAGAGUACAUCACCACCCACAUUUGUUCUUUUAUCUGAAGAGCAAUUAAACUAUUUGUUUGGUAGCUAUGUCUAGCCAUCCACUAGCCUUAAUUAUCACCCACUCAGCAAAAUAUGCCCUCCAAUCCGACUUCAAUAUAAUAUGGCCUGUUGUACAGCAGAAGUACGUGACUGUGUGGCUAUACUGUGCAGUAACCAUCAACAACAUGAUGACAAGAACAAUACUCAAAUAUGUUUUUUUUCCCUUGAGAAAAUCUGUGACGAAAGCAGAAAAGAUCCCUUUAGUAUAUAGAAGAAGACAGUGACUGGUCCCAAGAGGUGGUAGUUGCGGCAAAAGCUUUUCAGAAAUGAAUAUAUGGUAGUUGCGGCAAAAGCUUUUCAGAGGGGGAUCGAGUUCUGAACAAGUGGAGCGAAAAUCUGAAAGUAAUCUUGCAUGGCGCAACUCUGCAGGUUUGAUGAGUCAGAAUGUUCCCUGAUGGAUUUGCUAGCUGCAUUCAAUCUGAAAUAUGUUUUCAUCUGACAAAACUAGUGGCAAAUGCAUAGGUGAUUGAAUGUUUGAAGCAAGACUUACAGUGCUAUAUAUUACAUACCUAAUAACUGUUGCGUUUCACUAAUAAUAUCAGUCUUAUGGUAAUCUUUCUAAGCAAACUCUGUUUUAUUUAACGAAAUAUGCAAACUCCGUUUCAUUAUCGCUAGGUGACAGGAAGGGAGAUCUUCCAAAUUUUGAAAAACAAGCAUGGUAAUGGGUUUGAAGGUUUCAUCCAAGAAAAAAUAUGCCCUUUACCAGGAGACGUCAUGUAUGAGAACUUGGGCCUAGGCCCUGCCAAACUGAGAGAAGUAUGCAAAGAAAUAGACAUCAUUGUCAAUGGAGCUGCAACUACAAAUUUCUACGAAAGGUCUGAGCUUAUUUCUGUUAACAAAUUAUUUCCGAUGGCAUGAAUAUUGUGGAAAUAUUUGUUCAGUUAUCUGACCAAACUGCAGGUAUGAUGUGGCUUUCGACACAAAUGUCAUGGGAGCCAAACACAUUUGUGAGUUUGCAAAAAGGUGCAGUAAACUCAAGAUGCUGCUACAUGUUUCAACAGGUAGGAAGCAACAAUCCUGUGUUCCAUGUGUGGCCAAAUCUGGACCAUCCAUUUUCUUCAAUUAAGGGGCACAAUAUAAGUAACAACUAAAAUAACUGUCAGCAAUCUGAAUCCAUAUAAUGGUAACACUUUCGAGCAGCUUAUGUAGCCGGUGAACAAGAAGGGGUAGUGCUAGAGAAGCCAUUCCGUUUGGGUGAAACCCUGAGGGAAGGCACGCACCUGGACAUCGAAUCCGAACUAAAUCUGAUAAAAGAGACCAGGAGAGAACUGAAAGCCAACUGUUCUUCGGAAAAGGUUGAGAGAAGAACCAUGAAGGAUCUUGGCCUCAAGAGGUGAGUGAAAACUAACUCAUUACUACAAAGCAAAAGUACAUUUGUCCUGUUUACGCAUCUAAAUUAAUUUGCUGCUACCUACUACUAAUACGUACUGUCCAAAUAAUUAAUCACAAAGCACAUGACAUGUCUCUGUCAAUGAUCGAUGAAGGGCAAGGGAGUUUGGGUGGCCAAACACCUAUGUGUUCACCAAAGCCAUGGGGGAGAUGCUGCUGGGACACCUUCGAGGAGAUCUCCCAGUCGUCAUCGUCCGGCCGAGCAUCAUAACCAGCAUCCUGAACGAGCCGUUGCCUGGAUGGAUGGAAGGGAUCAGGUAGGUGACCUAACAGGACAAGAAAAUAAUUCACCAGAUGUGCAGACAUGCUUCCAAUAAUUCUCCAUUGGUUUCUUCAUGGCACCAACCAGCAAACAGUCAGCAGUGUAUAUAUGCAGAGUGAAUGAAAAACAAAUUCCAUGAUCAUGGUUGGUUGGCUUCAAUUUUGCAGGACAAUUGACUCGUUCAUCAUCGGCUACGCGAAGCAGGCUCUGUCAAUCUUCUUAGUUGACCUCGAGUUGAUAAUGGACGUGGUGAGUCUCCGUUUCCGAUCGAGCGCAGCCGCAGCAUCAAAUUUAAACAAAUUAUCUAUCAAGAAGCAAACCAACAACCAGUUUUAUCAAAAAGAAGAAAAAAAAAAGAGAAACGAAGCAAAUUAACCAACAAGGACGCACCACGCACGCACGUAUUCUGAUCGAUUUCUGACAGAUUCCGGGGGACAUGGUGGUGAACGCCAUGAUGGUGGCCAUGGCGGCGCACUCGGAGGAGCAGGCGCAGCAACUGAGCAUCUACCACCUGACGUCGUCGGUGCGGCACCCGGCGCCGUACGCCGUCCUCGCGGAGUGCGGCCACCGCUACUUCCUCCACAAUCCACUGAUGAGGUCCGGGUCCGGGUCCGGCGGCAAGAACAGCGGCGAGCCCGUGCGGCCUGCCAGGAUGCGCUUCUUCCGCACGCUCCCCAGGUUCCGCGCCUACAUGGCCGUCAAGUUCAGGCUUCCCCGCGAGGUCGCUAUUAGUAUUACUCUGCUCAAAUUCAUUGACCAGUUUGUACGUAUAAUCGAGCGAAUGUUCUUGAUUAAUUCUGCAUGGUGAUCAUCACUUAUCAGAUCCUUCGCCUGCUCAACAUCGCCCUGUGCGGCGCGUUCUCCCGGCGCUACGACGAGCUCAGCAGGAAGUACAGAUACGUCAUGCAUAUUGCAGAGCUGUACGCGCCAUACGCCUUGUUCAAAGGAUGGUAAGAAAUCAACCGAUCAAAGCCGGUUUUCCUCCUCCUUAUUUUUUUUGCAUUUUUGGAUGGUCGCGCGCUCACUGUUUCUUGCAAUUUUUUUUUUAUGUGAAGCUUUGAUGACUCCAACACGGAGAGGCUGAGGGUGGCGAUGGCGAACAACAACAACAACAACAAUAAUAACGGGCAAGACAGGAAAUAUGAUGAGUUUGGUUUUGAUCCCAAGUGCAUAGACUGGGACGACUACUUCUACAGGGUUCACAUCCCCGGUGUUGUCAAGUACCUGUGGGAUUAGCUGAGAGAGAGAGACGUAUCUCAUGUGUUUUAAUACAUACACGAGUAUGUUGUCGGUGUGUGAGGUGUGUUGUGCUGGAAAUGUUGCAGAUUCUUUUUUUUUUUGAAUCAUUGGGUAUACUUUAUUGAUAAAAA